AUUGAACGCUGGCGGCAGGCCUAACACAUGCAAGUCGAACGGUAACAGGGAUCAGCUUGCUGAUUCGCUGACGAGUGGCGGACGGGUGAGUAAUGUCUGGGAAACUGCCUGAUGGAGGGGGAUAACUACUGGAAACGGUAGCUAAUACCGCAUAACGUCGCAAGACCAAAGAGGGGGACCUUCGGGCCUCUUGCCAUCGGAUGUGCCCAGAUGGGAUUAGCUAGUAGGUGGGGUAACGGCUCACCUAGGCGACGAUCCCUAGCUGGUCUGAGAGGAUGACCAGCCACACUGGAACUGAGACACGGUCCAGACUCCUACGGGAGGCAGCAGUAGGGAAUAUUGCACAAUGGGCGCAAGCCUGAUGCAGCCAUGCCGCGUGUAUGAAGAAGGCCUUCGGGUUGUAAAGUACUUUCAGCGGGGAGGAAGGGAGUAAAGUUAAUACCUUUGCUCAUUGACGUUACCCGCAGAAGAAGCACCGGCUAACUCCGUG
rnacentral:rRNA from 1 species